CCUCAUCACACAUGGAGGUACUUAUGUUGGUGUUGUAUGGUCGUAGCGUUGCCAUCCUUGUCUUCCGAAUACAUGGGUGAUCGCCCGGAGAGGUCACUUCCUUCCAAGCUUCCCACGAGGAUUUUAAGUCAUCCGGUGGUCAGAGGGCAUAAGGGUCCUAGCGACCAUUUGCAAGUUUUGUAAAAGUAGGCGAGGAGUGUCAGAGAAUAAGGGUGGAAGGCUAAGGUAUAACCUUCACUUUCUUUGAAGAUUUAGGACAGGUGAGAAAUAUAUAGGUUUUGCAAGUACUUUCGAAGGCUCUGGAAAACAGAUUUGUCCUAACUAACGUUUGUGCUAACCAAGGGCUUCCUACAAUCAGGAUGGCUCUGAUACCAGCUCUGUGGGGACCCAGACUUACGAGUCGAUAUCACCGAAUGAUCAUGCUGAGUGAUCCUAGAGAUCAAUGCUCACCGAACACACAUAAACUGAAUAACAAGAGUCUUACAACCUUACAUACCGUUUGAUACAAUAAAUGACCAUUGCGGUCAAGUCUUACAUAUAUAGUACCUUGAAGGCCAACACACCAAAC
rnacentral:lncRNA from 1 species